rnacentral:tRNA from 1 species
CGUAGCUCAGUUGGGAGAGCGCGUCGUUCGCAAUGACGAGGUCGGCGGUUCGAUCCCGCCUGGCUCCACCA